rnacentral:lncRNA from 1 species
GACAAGUAGCUCCGGGCUCUUGAGAGUUUGGUUGGCCUCAGCCGCCUCCUCCCACGGCCCAAGUAGCUAGCCAGUGGCUGGACUUGCUCUUGAAGAAAGCUGGGCAAAUGGCUCAAAUGCUUUUGGGAACCUGAGUGAUUUCUAGGAAACCCCUCAGUAAGUGAAACUGAAAGGGUGUGGCAAAGCAGAUAAGAAAAACAAUAGUCUCUUCU